CUUCAAAACAAGAUGGCGGCAGAAUCGGAAGUCCCGGCCGUUUUUACUCGAUUUAGAGUAAACUAAGAAUUGUACGCACAGUUUGCAUAAAUAAGCCGUUUAUCCGCAGACCAAUCAACAAGUAGAACGCACUGGCUGAUCCCAGGGCCAUUUCCCAUCGACCCAAAUGACAGGAAAGGGGGAGGGCCCUGGGAACGAGAUUGUGAGCAGCCCAUAUCAAACAUAUUCCCCACGGAUAGUGUCCUUCGUCCGCUGUGCCUUAUAUGGUCAUAUAUGCCCAUAUUUAGAAGUACUGGAGUUUCCCCUUUCGCGCUUCUCCAACAAACAUGGCGGCAAACACUGAUUCCCUAAAGACUCGUAGUGGAAGAAUUAUAAAGAAACCGGAUCGCUUGGUCAAAUAUUUAGACCAUUCCUCAGUUGAUACGUACGUGAAAGAAGAGAAAGAGGAAGAAGAAAAAGUCUGGGAGAUAGAGAGAGUUUUAAACGUUGAGGGAGACUAUGCCUUUGUGAAAUGGAAAGGCUACAGCGAUAGAUAUAAGUCUCCGUUUUCUCUUUCACCGAAUCCGCAGUUGUCAUGCUAUUUAGCCGUGAAUGCUGGGAACCCAGACAGUAGUGAGGUAGCAAAAGAAAAGCUUCCCAUUUUUUGCUCCGAGGAUAAAGAAUUGUGGCUGAUUCGACAUGCACUGUUCGAUGAGCUCCAAUUUCGUACACCCGAGAAUGACACGGGACUCAUUCGGAGAGUACAAGUGAAAGUCCCCCUUUCAAAGGAAGGUUUUUCCUCUUUGUUUGGUAAAGGGACAUUUUCUUUUGCUAACUCACGAAAGCUGGAUUUUUCAGGGACCCGUAAUAUUCGGUUCCCGUGCACUGCUGUCGAGUUUAGCACGGUUAUUGGUACGGAGUUUAUGGCUCGGCAAUCGGCCAGAUUCGAGUACAAUAUGUGAAGUUGACUCAUCUUCGAAGAUGUGGAUAUCAUGAGGAUACGAGCUAAGGAUUAAUUAUCAUCAUAGUUCGUGCCCCCGUUGUACUUACAUCUCUGAAUAUGGGUCAGAGGAAGAAAGGCCUAGUAUGUGUCGACCGCUAGAGCGCAAGUAUCCCCCGCUGAGCUUUUUGGAGAUCAGCUUCGUACGGCGUAGACGGAAUAUGCUUCACAACUAUGGCUCGUGACAUAUGAUCAAAUAAGGCUUGUGUCCUGCCAGUUCAACUAACCACAGGGAUGUAGAAUUACCUCAUCAAACGUGGCCUUUCUAAAUUUGGUUCCCCAUUGGCGGGCCUUUUCUUGAAAAGCAUCUGCUCGAAGAUGUGCUUCAUCUCCAGGAUUUGCCCCAAGAGCAUCAGUGAGGACCAUCAAACGUUUCCACACUUGUGUCAGCUCUGAUAUGCUAAGAACUGUUUUCUCACAAGUAGGAGUGGACGAUGGCUACAAAACACAAAGCAAUUGUUAAAUUAGCUUUAUACACAGUAGUAUCCUGGGUGUGCUGGUCUUUUUUAUAAUGAAAAUAAAAAUCAUACCUCAAA